CGGGGUGUAGCGCAGCCUGGUAGCGCACUGCGUUCGGGACGCAGGUGUCGGAGGUUCAAAUCCUCUCACCCCGA
rnacentral:tRNA from 1 species